rnacentral:tRNA from 1 species
GGUUGUGGCUCAGUGGUAGAGCACUCGCCUGGCAUGCGUGAGGCACUGGGUUCAAUCCUCAGCACCA